ensembl:lncRNA
CUAUAAAAGGCUGGCGCGGGGUUAAGUUUCCAGCGUUCUGGCUAUGAGCGAUAAGAAGAUACAGCUUCAACUUGGAUUAAAUUACUGAAUACAUUUAAAUAAUGAGAAAAUUAAGACUGGUUCAGCCACCACGAGAAGGACACUGUGAGAGCAUUCUGAGGCAAUGUGGAAUAAUUGUUCACUACCAGGAAAUGACAGCACCAGACAAUGCUUGUGUGGCAACCCAUGACAGAGGCUCAACCGAGCCAGAAUAUCAUGCUGGUCUGUAAGAACAGGAAGCAGAGCUGUACACUCUGGCGAUUUUCAUAAAUGACAGCAAAGCUCCUGAGCUAGUGAAUUCACAGACUACAUCCACGUGUGACAUGCAAAUCGCCCUUCUGUGUUUUCAGCCAUGUUUAUGCUCAGAGGAGACGAAUGGAGGUUGUUAAUGCUGUCCUUAAGACAAAAGACAAUGAUUCAGGAUGGGGAACACAUGUAUACCUGUGGAGGAUUCAUUUUGAUAUUUGGCAAAACUAACACAAUUAUGUAAAGUUUAAAAAUAAAAUAAAAUUAGAAAAAAAAAAAAAAAAAAAGACAAUGGUACAGGCCGACUCUUCCCAUGCCACAAACACAAAACUGCUAUAAACUCCCCAG